UACCAGCACCCCGAGUGGUCGGGACGAUUAUUGGGCCUAAAGCAUCCGUAGCCGGUUUUACAAGUCCUCCGUUAAAUCCAGCUGCUUAACAGAUGGGCUGCGGAGGAUGACUAUAAGACUAGGAGGCAGGAGAGGCAAGCGGUACUCAGUGGGUAGGGGUAAAAAUCCGUUGAUCCAUUGAAGACCACCAGUGGCGAAGGCGGCUUGCCAGAAUGCGCUCGACGGUGAGGGAUGAAAGCUGGGGGGAGCAAACCGG
rnacentral:rRNA from 1 species